GGUGGGAUGCCCGAGUGGUUAAAGGGAGCAGACUGUAAAUCUGCCGCCGGAUGGCUACGGAGGUUCGAAUCCUCCUCCCACCA
rnacentral:tRNA from 1 species